CCCCGGUUUGGGGGGGAAAAGGCGGAGGGAUCAUUACCGAGUUUACACUCCCAAACCCCUGUGACAUACCACUUGUUGCCUCGGCGGAUCAGCCCGCUCCCGGUAAACGGGACGGCCCGCCAGAGGACCCCUAACUCUGUUUCUAUAUGUAACUUCUGAGUAAACCAUAAAUAAAUCAAAACUUUCAACAACGGGAUCUCUUGGGUUCCGGCACCGAGGGGAAGAACGCAGCAAAAUGCGAUAAGUAAUGUGAAUUGCAGAAUUCAGUGAAUCAUCGAAUCUUUGAACGCACAUUGCGCCCGCCAGUAUUCUGGCGGGCAUGCCUGUUCGAGCGUCAUUUCAACCCUCAAGCACAGCUUGGUGUUGGGACUCGCGUUAAUUCGCGUUCCUCAAAUUGAUUGGCGGUCACGUCGAGCUUCCAUAGCGUAGUAGUAAAACCCUCGUUACUGGUAAUCGUCGCGGCCACGCCGUUAAACCCCAACUUCUGAAUGUUGACCUCGGAUCAGGUAGGAAUACCCGCUGAACUUAAGCAUAUCUAAAACCGGAGGAA
rnacentral:rRNA from 1 species